AGUGAACGCUGGCGGUAGGCCUAACACAUGCAAGUCGAACGGCAGCACAGUAAGAGCUUGCUCUUACGGGUGGCGAGUGGCGGACGGGUGAGAAUACAUCGGAAUCUACUUUUUCGUGGGGGAUAACGUAGGGAAACUUACGCUAAUACCGCAUACGACCUACGGGUGAAAGCAGGGGAUCUUCGGACCUUGCGCGAUUGAAUGAGCCGAUGUCGGAUUAGCUAGUUGGCGGGGUAAAGGCCCACCAAGGCGACGAUCCGUAGCUGGUCUGAGAGGAUGAUCAGCCACACUGGAACUGAGACACGGUCCAGACUCCUACGGGAGGCAGCAGUGGGGAAUAUUGGACAAUGGGCGCAAGCCUUAUCCAGCCAUACCGCGUGGGUGAAGAAGGCCUUCGGGUUGUAAAGCCCUUUUGUUGGGAAAGAAAAGCAGCAGGUUAAUACCCCGCUGUUCUGACGGUACCCAAAGAAUAAGCACCGGCUAACUUCGUG
rnacentral:rRNA from 1 species